AGAGCGAACGCUGGCGGCAGGCUUAACACAUGCAAGUCGAACGAACUCUUCGGAGUUAGUGGCGGACGGGUGAGUAACACGUGGGAACGUGCCUUUUGGUUCGGAAUAGCUCCUGGAAACGGGUGGUAAUGCCGAAUGUGCCCUUCGGGGGAAAGAUUUAUCGCCAUUAGAGCGGCCCGCGUCUG
rnacentral:rRNA from 1 species